AGUUCAGACCCUUAAGCAAAGAUGUAGUUCUGCUUCUGACCAGCUGUUCAAGUUUGGGAAACAAUUGCCAAGUAUGGAUUCUUUGUUGAGGCUUUGAACAUGAAGGAUUUAUAAAUAAAAGACAUGAUCAAGGCAAAGAAAUACCCUGGGACCGGUGAUGCAGAUCCUGAUUGACUAGGUCCUGGAAGCCAAGUGAGAAAGAGUGCUAACUGCUGCUGAGAGAUCAAGAAGGCUUCCUGACCAGCAUCACAGAGCAAGUAAUCUAUUGCUAAAUCCGCCUGUCAUCCUGGCUGGGGCCAAGGAAAAUCAAGGGAUGGCAAAGCUUUGGAGAA